rnacentral:rRNA from 1 species
GACGAACGCUGGCGGCGUGCUUAACACAUGCAAGUCGAACGGUAAGGCCCUUCGGGGUACACGAGUGGCGAACGGGUGAGUAACACGUGGGUGAUCUGCCCUGCACUUCGGGAUAAGCCUGGGAAACUGGGUCUAAUACCGGAUAGGACCACUGCCUGCAUGGGUGGUGGUGGAAAGCUUUUGCGGUGUGGGAUGGGCCCGCGGCCUAUCAGCUUGUUGGUGGGGUGAUGGCAUACCAAGGCGACGACGGGUAGCCGGCGUGGGAGGGUGACCGGCAACACUGGGACUGGGAUGCGGCCCAGGCUCCUACGGGAGGCAGCAGUGGGGAAUAUUGAACAAUGGGCGAAAGCCUGAUGCAGCCACGCCGCGUGAGAGAGGACGGCCUUCGGGUUGUAAACCUCUUUCAGCACCGACGAAGCGCAAGUGACGGUAGGUGCAGAAGAAGGACCGGCCAACUACGUGCCAGCCGCCGCCGUAA